GACGAACGCUGGCGGCGUGCUUAACACAUGCAAGUCGAACGAUGAAGCCGGAGCUUGCUCUGGUGAAUUAGUGGCGAACGGGUGAGUAACACGUGAGUAACCUGCCCUUGACUCUGGGAUAACUGCGGGAAACUGUAGCUAAUACCGGAUACGACCCUCGGAGGCAUCUCCUGGGGGUGGAAAGAAUUUCGGUCAAGGAUGGACUCGCGGCCUAUCAGCUAGUUGGUGAGGUAAAGGCUCACCAAGGCGACGACGGGUAGCCGGCCUGAGAGGGUGACCGGCCACACUGGGACUGAGACACUGCCCAGACUCCUACGGGAGGCAGCAGUGGGGAAUAUUGCACAAUGGGCGCAAGCCUGAUGCAGCAACGCCGCGUGAGGGAUGACGGCCUUCGGGUUGUAAACCUCUUUUAGCAGGGAAGAAGCGAAAGUGACGGUACCUGCAGAAAAAGCACCGGCUAUCUACGUGCCAGCAGCCGCCGUAA
rnacentral:rRNA from 1 species